rnacentral:misc_RNA from 1 species
AACUUUUGGCAACGGAUCACUUGGCUCUCGCAUCAAUGAAGAACGCAGCGAAAUGCGAUAAGUAAUGUGAAUUGCAGAAUUCAGUGAAUCAUCGAAUCUUUGAACGCACCUUGCGCUCCUUGGUAUUCCGAGGAGCAUGCCUGUUUGAGUGUCAUUAAAUUCUCAACCUUAUCAGCUUUUUCUGAUAGUGGCUUGGAUGUGGGGGUUGCUGGCUUUCUUUCGGUCAGCUCCCCUUAAAUGCAUUAGCUGGUGCCCCAGUCUUAUUGGUGUGAUAAUUAUCUACGCCAUGUUUAGGCACCGCUUCUAACCGUCCGUCUUGGACAAUACAUGACAAUUUGACCUCAAAUCAGGUAGGACUACCUGCUGAACUUAAGCAUAUCAAUAAGCGGAGGCU